GUGGACCACAGUGCUCUGGUUCGUGUGCGUGUUCUAGACUCUAACAGACAACCCUUCCUACAUCGUUACCUUCCUCUGAUGCACCUCAAACUGACCCCCUCCUCACCCAUCCUCACUGUGGAGCCUGCAGGGCCGUUGGACAGCGUCUCCGUAGGUUACCGUGUGUCAGGUCAGACAGUGGGAGUGGUCAGUCUUCACCUGUCUGCAGUGGACAGCAGUGGGAGUGUCCGGACCUCCUCUCACAAACAGCUACAGGUCUACCCCAGAUUCACCCUGCAGCCACGAAGUCUGGCACUGACACUGGGCAGCGUACGACAGGU